rnacentral:rRNA from 1 species
GAUGAACGCUGGCGGCGUGCCUAAUACAUGCAAGUCGAGCGAACAGACGAGGAGCUUGCUCCUCUGACGUUAGCGUCGGACGGGUGAGUAACACGUGGAUAACCUACCUAUAAGACUGGGAUAACUUCGGGAAACCGGAGCUAAUACCGGAUAAUAUAUUGAACCGCAUGGUUCAAUAGUGAAAGACGGUUUUGCUGUCACUUAUAGAUGGAUCCGCGCCGCAUUAGCUAGUUGGUAAGGUAACGGCUUACCAAGGCAACGAUGCGUAGCCGACCUGAGAGGGUGAUCGGCCACACUGGAACUGAGACACGGUCCAGACUCCUACGGGAGGCAGCAGUAGGGAAUCUUCCGCAAUGGGCGAAAGCCUGAAGGAGCAACGCCGCGUGAGUGAUGAAGGUCUUCGGAUCGUAAAACUCUGUUAUUAGGGAAGAACAAAUGUGUAAGUAACUAUGCACGUCUUGACGGUACCUAAUCAGAAAGCCACGGCUAACUACGUG